AGUAACGCGUGAGUAACCUGCCUUACACAAGGGGAUAGCCGUUGGAAACGACGAAUAAUACCCUAUGAUGUCUCUAUCUCGCAUGAGAUAUUAACCAAAGUGUUAGCGGUGUAAGAUGGACUUGCGUCUGAUUAGCUAGUUGGUGAGAAAAAAGCCCACCAAGGCAACGAUCAGUAGCCGGCUUGAGAGAGUGUACGGCCACAUUGGGACUGAGACACGGCCCAG
rnacentral:rRNA from 1 species